rnacentral:rRNA from 1 species
GCUAGCUACAGGCUUAACACAUGCAAGUCGAGGGGCAGCAUUUUUAUAGCAAUAUAAAAGAUGGCGACCGGCGCACGGGUGAGUAACACGUAUCCAACCUGCCGAUAACUCGGGGAUAACCCUUCGAAAGAAGGCCUAAUACCCGAUGGCAUAUCCCUUCCGCCUGGUGGGGAUAUUAAAGAACUUCGGUUAUCGAUGGGGAUGCGUUCCAUUAGCUUGUUGGCGGGGUAACGGCCCACCAAGGCUUCGAUGGAUAGGGGUUCUGAGAGGAAGGUCCCCCACAUUGGAACUGAGACACGGUCCAAACUCCUACGGGAGGCAGCAGUGAGGAAUAUUGGUCAAUGGACGAGAGUCUGAACCAGCCAAGUAGCGUGAAGGAUGAAGGUCCUAUGGAUUGUAAACUUCUUUUAUACGGGAAUAAAGUGCAGUAUGCAUACUGUUUUGUAUGUACCGUAUGAAUAAGGAUCGGCUAACUCCGUGCCAGCAGCCGCGGUAAUACGGAGGAUCCGAGCGUUAUCCGGAUUUAUUGGGUUUAAAGGGAGCGUAGGCGGAUGCUUAAGUCAGUUGUGAAAGUUUGCGGCUCAACCGUAAAAUUGCAGUUGAUACUGGGCGUCUUGAGUACAGUAGAGGCAGGCGGAAUUCGUGGUGUAGCGGUGAAAUGCUUAGAUAUCACGAAGAACUCCGAUUGCGAAGGCAGCCUGCUGGACUGUCACUGAC